rnacentral:lncRNA from 1 species
GCAAUGUGCAGAUAUACAGCAGUACUCACCUCAAAUUACAGAAAGUCAUACAACAAGAUCCCUGCUGGUUCCAUGAUACACACAUUCCAUACACAGACACAGACACAUUCCAUACACACACACACAUUCCAUACACGUGCACACACACAUUCCAUACACACAGACACACAUUCCAUACACACAGACACAUAUUCGAUACAUUCCACACACACACACAUUCCAUACACACACAUUCCAUACACACACAUUCCAUACACACACAUUCCAUACACACACAUUCCAUACACACACACAUUCCAUACACAGACACAUUCCAUACACACACACAUUCCAUACACACACAUUCCACACACACAUUCCAUACACACACACACUUCCAUACACAGAGACACAUUCCAUACACGCACAGACACACAUUCUGUACACACACACACAAACACAUAUUCCGUGUACACACACUUCCAUACACACAGAGACACGUUCCAUGCCCACACAUUCCAUACACACACAGACACAUCCAGUACACACACACACAGACACAUUCCAUAUACACACACACAUUCCCUACAUACACACACAGACACAUUCCAUACACACACCCAUACUCAUUCCAUACACACAGAGACACAUUCCAUACACACACGCACACAUUCCACACGCACACACAUUCCAUAUACACACACAGACACAUUCCAUACACACACAUUCCAUACACACACACACACAUUCCAUAUACACAUACACAUUCCGUAUACACACACAGACUCAUUCCAUACACACACAGAGACACAUUCCAUUACACACACUCAGACACAUUCCACACACACACAUUCAUACACACACACAUUCCAUACACACACACAGAAUCAUUCCAUACACACACAGACACAUUCCAUACACACAGACACACAUUUGAUACACACACACAUUCCAUAUACACACACAUUCCAUACACACACAUUGCAUACCAACACACACACAUUCCAUACACAUACACAGACACACAUUCCAUACACACACAAACACAUUCCGUACACAUACUCAGACACACAUUCCAUACACACACACACAUUCCGUACACACACACAGUCACACAUUCCAUACACACACACAUUCCAUACGCACAAACACAUUCCAUACACACACACAUAUUCCAUAAACACAAACACAUUCCAUACACACACACAGACUAAUUCCAUACACAGAGACACAUUCCAUACACUUACGCAGACACAUUCCACACACACACACAUUCCAUGCACACACAUAGACUCAUUCCGUACACACACAUAGACACAUUCCAUACACACACAGACACAUUCCAUAUGCAUACGCAGGUAUGUCCCCAAAGAAAUAGAUUGUCUCCAUCAUAUGCACAUUAA